GUGUGGUUGAUCAGGCCGGGGACAACAUGCUGGGAAACGGUGGCUAAUACCGGAUGUGCCGAAAGGUGAAAGGUUUAUUGCCUGGAGAUGAGCUCGCGUCUGAUUAGCUAGUAGGUGUGGUAAGAGCGCACCUAGGCGACGAUCAGUAGCUGGUCUGAGAGGAUGAUCAGCCACACUGGGACUGAGACACGGCCCAGACUCCUACGGGAGGCAGCAGUGGGGAAUUUUCCGCAAUGGGCGAAAGCCUGACGGAGCAAUACCGCGUGAGGGAGGAAGGCUCUUGGGUUGUAAACCUCUUUUCUCAGGGAAGAAAAAAAUGACGGUACCUGAGGAAUAAGCAUCGGCUAACUCCGUGCCAGCAGCCGCGGUAAUACGGAGGAUGCAAGCGUUAUCCGGAAUGAUUGGGCGUAAAGCGUCCGCAGGUGGCUAUGUAAGUCUGCUGUUAAAGAGUGAGGCUCAACCUCAUAAGAGCAGUGGAAACUACAUAGCUAGAGUGCGUUCGGGGCAGAGGGAAUUCCUGGUGUAGCGGUGAAAUGCGUAGAGAUCAGGAAGAACACCGGUGGCGAAAGCGCUCUGCUAGGCCGCAACUGACACUGAGGGACGAAAGCUAGGGGAGCGAAUGGGAUUAGUCCCCCCGGGUNAACAUUAAGGUGGUAGGGNNNCNUAGGUUAGAGGUGNUUUAAAAACCUUNUNCCCUCCNCCCCCUUCCCUUCCCGCUCCCCCCCACUAUCUUCACCGUUCUUAUGUAUUGG
rnacentral:rRNA from 1 species